rnacentral:rRNA from 1 species
CGAACCGGGGGAACUGAAACAUCUAAGUACCCCGAGGAAAAGAAAUCAACCGAGAUUCCGAAAGUAGCGGCGAGCGAAAUUGGACUAGCCCUUAAGCUUUACACGCGUUAGACGAACGGUCUGGAAAGUCCGACGAUACAGGGUGAUAGUCCCGUAGUUGACGACGUGUGUUCAGUGAAAUCGAGUAGGGCGGGACACGUGAUAUCCUGUCUGAAUAUGGGGGGACCAUCCUCCAAGGCUAAAUACUACUGACUGACCGAUAGUGAACCAGUACCGUGAGGGAAAGGCGAAAAGAACCCCUGUGAGGGGAGUGAAAUAGAACCUGAAACCGUGUACGUACAAGCAGUAGGAGCAGGCUUUGUCCUGUGACUGCGUACCUUUUGUAUAAUGGGUCAGCGACUUAUAUUCAGUGGCAAGGUUAACCAUCUAGGGGAGCCGUAGGGAAACCGAGUCUUAACUGGGCGUUCAGUCUCUGGAUAUAGACCCGAAACCAGGUGAUCUAGCCAUGGGCAGGUUGAAGGUUGAGUAACAUCAACUGGAGGACCGAACCGACUAAUGUUGAAAAAUUAGCGGAUGACUUGUGGCUAGGGGUGAAAGGCCAAUCAAACCUGGAGAUAGCUGGUUCUCCCCGAAAGCUAUUUAGGUAGCGCCUCGGACGAAUACUACUGGGGGUAGAGCACUGUUAAGGCUAGGGGGUCAUCCCGACUUACCAACCCUUUGCAAACUCCGAAUACCAGUAAGUACUAUCCGGGAGACACACGGCGGGUGCUAACGUCCGUCGUGGAGAGGGAAACAACCCAGACCGCCAGCUAAGGUCCCAAAUUACUACUAAGUGGGAAACGAUGUGGGAAGGCUCAGACAGCCAGGAUGUUGGCUUAGAAGCAGCCAUCAUUUAAAGAAAGCGUAAUAGCUCACUGGUCGAGUCGGCCUGCGCGGAAGAUGUAACGGGGCUAAGUAGUAAACCGAAGCUGCGGCAAUAUACUUUUGUAUAUUGGGUAGGGGAGCGUUCUGUAAGCGGUUGAAGGUGUGUGGUAACGCAUGCUGGACGUAUCAGAAGUGCGAAUGCUGACAUGAGUAACGAUAAAGGGGGUGAAAAACCUCCUCGCCGGAAGACCAAGGGUUCCUGUCCAACGUUAAUCGGGGCAGGGUAAGUCGACCCCUAAGGCGAGGCCGAAAGGCGUAGUCGAUGGGAAACGGGUUAAUAUUCCCGUACUUCUUACAAUUGCGAUGGGGGGACGGAGAAGGCUAGGUGGGCCUGGCGACGGUUGUCCAGGUUCAAGUGCGUAGGCUUAAGA